rnacentral:pre_miRNA from 11 species
GGAACAGCUGAAGAGCUCCUUUUAGUCCAAUAAAGAGGGCUGAGGGGCGGCCAGAGCUGCCAUCUCAUGCACUUGGCUAUGCUUAUUCUUUUCUCAAUCAAUUCGGUUCGAGUAUGGCUGUGGAGUGACAAAUGCUAAGUUUAGCCUGAUGCAUGACAUGGGAGCAACUCCUCCGCACGCUUUGCCCACUCAUUGGACUGAAGGGAGCUCCCAGGGCAGAUCUC